CUCCCGUUGCCUUGACCUGGAAAAUCACUGGGCUACCUUGGAGGCCGGAUUUAGAUUUCCUGCUCAAACCACCGUUACCCUAUUUAGAGGAGUGAAAUCAGGGUCAGCCUGUUACCGUUCCAGGAGAGGAGGCGACAGAGAAGCCGUUCUUGUGCUCCGCUGAAGAGAAGGGCUUGUUCCUGCUUUUAAAGACGUUUUUCCAAAACCAGAAAAAUGCUGUGUUUUAAAAGUGAAAUGAGACAUGUUUGGAAGAACAAACAAAGCUGCUGAUGGAGCGAAUCGUAGACAUACCUAAUGGAUUCAUUGAACAAAGGACUUCCGGCGCUGGACGGUGCUGAUGGAGAGGUGGCAUGGAUUUGAGCUGGUCACCCACACUGUGGAAAAUGAAGGCUUGAUGGAAGCAGCAGACUGAGGCUCAUUCUGGUCUGUCCUCUCGAGUUCCCACAUGAAAUUAAGCCUGUCCUCCGUCUCCACUUCCUGCCCAUCUUUCCUUCCUAACUGCCCACCCUACUGACUUCAAGCCAACACCAUGCGAAGAAGCAACAGCUGGACGUAAACCAGUCACCCACCUCCCACAGCGACACAAGAUGAGCAAGGAUCUGUUGGCAUAAGCGGAUUGUCCUGAUGAUGCUGUCAUGGUGCCUGAUACUAUUUUGACUUACAUCUUCUGUUUUAUCAAGAAAACAAAAUGUGUCCUGAAUUAUGAACUGAACAUACCAGCAUAGCAGUAUCCUUGCCUGGGAAGACCCUGGGAUACCAGACAAGGUGAUCAUGGUGAUCCAUGGAAUCACAUUUUAUGAGUAAGAAUCCAUCAAUCUGUAGAAGGUAGGACAUCUCUAAGUUGCUGUUAUAAUCCGUGAGCUCAUCCCUG